GCGGGGAUAGCUCAGUUUGGGAGAGCGCCAGACUGAAGAAAAAGGAAACUUCGGUUUAGAAUAUACUAUGAUAUCUGGAGGCCGGGUGUUCGAUCCACCCUCACCGCA
rnacentral:tRNA from 1 species